UUUUUAUUGGAUGAUAAUGGUCACGUAUCAUAUUUUAAUCAAAUGUCAACUUCAUAAAAGAUGAAAUGCAUUGUUGUUUUCAUUAACCAAUCAGAACAUGACAUGACAUGUGAUAGUCAUCAUCC
rfam:Glycine soja cultivar W05 scaffold2751_21, whole genome shotgun sequence.